rnacentral:rRNA from 1 species
UUGAACGCUGGCGGUAGGCUUAACACAUGCAAGUCGUGCGAGAAGUAUCUUCGGAUAUGAGUAGAGCGGCGGACGGGUGAGUAACGCGUGGGAAUAUACCCAGUUCUAAGGAUAGCCACUGGAAACGGUGAGUAAUACCAUAUACGCCCUUCGGGGGAAGAUUUAUCGGAAUUGGAUUAGCCCGCGUUAGAUUAGAUAGUUGGUGGGGUAAUGGCCUACCAAGUCUACGAUCUAUAGCUGGUUUGAGAGGAUGAUCAGCAACAUUGGGACUGAGACACGGCCCAAACUCCUACGGGAGGCAGCAGUGGGGAAUCUUGC